rnacentral:rRNA from 1 species
UUAGCGNCCGCGAAUUCGCCCUUGAGUUUGAUCCUGGCUCAGAACGAACGCUGGCGGCGUGCCUAACACAUGCAAGUCGCACGAGAAAAGGACCUUCGGGUCCCCAGUAAAGUGGCGAAUGGGUGAGUAACACGUGAGUAAUGUGCCUCCGAGCGGGGGAUAACUAUUCGAAAGGAUAGCUAAUACCGCAUAAGACCACACCGGCUUCGGCUGGAGCGGUCAAAGCCUUCGGGCGCUCGGAGAUCAGCUCGCGGUCCAUUAGCUAGUUGGUGAGGUAACGGCUCACCAAGGCAUUUAUGGAUAGCUGGUCUGAGAGGACGAUCAGCCACACUGGGACUGAGACACGGCCCAGACUCCUACGGGAGGCAGCAGUGGGGAAUCUUGCGCAAUGGGCGAAAGCCUGACGCAGCAACGCCGCGUGAGUGAAGAAGGCCUUCGGGUCGUAAAGCUCUGUCUGGAGGGAAGAAAACCCGCAUUGUCGGGCGUGACGGUACCUCCGAAGGAAGCACCGGCUAACUCCGUGCCAGCAGCCGCGGUAAUACGGAGGGGGUUAGCGUUGUUCGGAAUUACUGGGCGUAAAGCGCGCGUAGGCGGAUUGGAAAGUAUGGGGUGAAAUCCCAGGGCUCAACCCUGGAACUGCCUCAUAAACUCCCAGUCUUGAGUUCGAGAGAGGUGAGUGGAACUCCGAGUGUAGAGGUGAAAUUCGUAGAUAUUCGGAAGAACACCAGUGGCGAAGGCGGCUCACUGGCUCGAUACUGACGCUGAGGUGCGAAAGUGUGGGGAGCAAACAGGAUUAGAUACCCUGGUAGUCCACACCGUAAGCGAUGAAUGCCAGUCGUCGGGUAGCAUGCUAUUCGGUGACACACCUAACGGAUUAAGCAUUCCGCCUGGGGGNNUACNGUCGCAAGAUUAAAACUCAAANGAAUUGACGGGGGGNCNGCACAAGCNGNNG